UUGAACAACCAGAACAGUCACUAAGAAAGGAGAUAGGGAGAAGAGGAAAUGUACCACACGUGUACACUGCAUCAGCAAAUGGACUGGCCGAGUAUGCAGUUGUAGACACAACUAGAGAAGAGAGAAAUAAAGGGCAAUCAAGAGCUCAUCAAAGGAAUAUGGCUUACCAUGACCCGGAAGAAGAUUAUGCUGUUAUUGACAAGAAAAAAAAGAGCCGACGAGAGAAAUGAUAUGAUGAAAAGU